rnacentral:rRNA from 1 species
AGUGAACGCUGGCGGUAGGCCUAACACAUGCAAGUCGAACGGCAGCACAGUAAGAGCUUGCUCUUACGGGUGGCGAGUGGCGGACGGGUGAGGAAUACAUCGCAAUCUACUUUUUCGUGGGGGAUAACGUAGGGAAACUUACGCUAAUACCGCAUACGACCUACGGGUGAAAUCAGGGGAUCUUCGGACCUUGCGCGAUUGAAUGAGCCGAUGUCGGAUUAGCUAGUUGGCGGGGUAAAGGCCCACCAAGGCGACGAUCCGUAGCUGGUCUGAGAGGAUGAUCGGCCACACUGGAACUGAGACACGGUCCAGACUCCUACGGGAGGCAGCAGUGGGGAAUAUUGGACAAUGGGCGCAAGCCUGAUCCAGCAAUACCGCGUGAGUGAAGAAGGCCUUCGGGUUGUAAAGCCCUGUUGUUGGGAAAGAAAAGCAGCAGGUUAAUACCCCGCUGUUCUGACGGUACCUAAAGAAUAAGCACCGGCUAACUUCGUG